GGGCUUGUGGUUUAGUGGUAUAAUACUCCCUUAGCAUCUGAUGGUCUUUCUUUCGAGAAAUGCAUCCAAAGAAUUGGGAGUGGUCCGGGGUUCGAUUCCCCGCGAGUCCA
rnacentral:tRNA from 1 species